AUUAACUGUAACAACACAGGUCCAUUAACAGUCUGCAUACGUUGUGCCCUCGUGUAUCAUUUACCUUUGUAAUACAUCUCCUUGUGCAUGGUGGGACAGCUGCUGGUCUGAAACAAAACACAAACGGAUCUCAGUGUGUGCUUUAUUGCGACACAACCAUCACAAGUCAAUUAUUUAAGGAAGCAUUAGGGACACAAAACUCUACCCUAUUUAAAUAGUACAUUUGGAAACAGUUUACAUUAUCAGAAAUAGCGUAGCCAACACGACAGAUUUAAAGAUAAGCACACGGAGUGAAAGGGGGAGACAUUUUUUCCAGCUGGCACCAAAGCACCGUUUGAAUGUUUACCAGGUUUCAGAAGAUUAUUAUUAUUGAAAAGUAGGAUUAAGAAAGGAUCACCUUCACUCAAAGAAACUAAAAUUUAACUGUC